rnacentral:rRNA from 1 species
CGGCAAAAGCUCAAAUUUGAAAUCUGGCACCUUCGGUGUCCGAGUUGUAAUUUGAAGAUUGUAACCUUGGGGUUGGCUCUUGUCUAUGUUUCUUGGAACAGGACGUCACAGAGGGUGAGAAUCCCGUGCGAUGAGAUGCCCAAUCCUAUGUAAGGUGCUUUCGAAGAGUCGAGUUGUUUGGGAAUGCAGCUCUAAGUGGGUGGUAAAUUCCAUCUAAAGCUAAAUAUUGGCGAGAGACCGAUAGCGAACAAGUACAGUGAUGGAAAGAUGAAAAGAACUUUGAAAAGAGAGUGAAAAAGUACGUGAAAUUGUUGAAAGGGAAGGGUUUGAGAUCAGACUCGAUAUUUUGUGAGCCUUGCCUUCGUGGCGGGGUGACCCGCAGCUUAUCGGGCCAGCAUCGGUUUGGGCGGUAGGAUAAUGGCGUAGGAAUGUGACUUUGCUUCGGUGAAGUGUUAUAGCCUGCGUUGAUGCUGCCUGCCUAGACCGAGGACUGCGAUUUUAUCAAGGAUGCUGGCAUAAUGAUCCCAAACCGCCCGUCUUGAACACGGACCA